CAACCACCUGACCAACCUCCGCAGGCGUUUCUGGGCGAGUACCUCUUUGAGCGGCUCACUCUCAAGCAUGACUAGGAGGCCUCU
rnacentral:pre_miRNA from 1 species